UACGGGGGGGGCAAGCGUUGUUCGGAAUUACUGGGCGUAAAGGGUUCGUAGGUGGCUUGCUAAGUCAGACGUGAAAUCCCUCAGCUUAACCGGGGAACUGCGUCUGAUACUGGAUGGCUUGAGUUUGGGAGAGGGACGCGGAAUUCCAGGUGUAGCGGUGAAAUGCGUAGAUAUCUGGAGGAACACCGGUGGCGAAGGCGGCGUCCUGGACCAACACUGACACUGAUGAGCGAAAGCCAGGGGAGCAAACGGG
rnacentral:rRNA from 1 species